UACGUAGGGGGCAAGCGUUGUCCGGAUUUAUUGGGCGUAAAGAGCGUGUAGGCGGCCAGACAGGUCCGUUGUGAAAACUCGAGGCUCAACCUCGAGAUGUCGAUGGAAACCGUCUGGCUAGAGUCCGGAAGAGGAGUGUGGAAUUCCUGGUGUAGCGGUGAAAUGCGCAGAUAUCUGGAGGAACACCGGUGGCGAAGGCGGCGUUCUGGACUGCAACUGACACUGAGGAACGAAAGCCAGGGGAGCAAACGGG
rnacentral:rRNA from 1 species